UAGUGACAAGAGCAUAGGCGU
rnacentral:miRNA from 1 species